CAGAACUGGCGAAUGAUGCUUAAUGACACCGGUUUACCUAGACAGUUCAAGCAACCACCGAUGAUGUGCUAUCAAAGAGGCAAGAACCUAAGAGACCUACUGGUUAAGAACGACCCCACACACUGCUAUGAUCAACCUACAACUCAUCUCAAUUUGGGAUGUUACAGGUGCCUGGAGUGCGUAACAUGUAGUCACAUGUUACCAAGCAAGACGUUCACCCAUCCGCACACUGGUAAGAAAUAUACUAUUAGGCAUAGACUUAUCUGUACCAGCGAUUAC